AGACCCCGGGCGGGAGAGCCCCUGUCCUGCCGCGCGAGCAGUGGAACAGGGCGCCGAAGGAGCAAGACUCCCCGCAAACUCUCAGGCACCCAUGACCGUCCGGGCGAG
rnacentral:ncRNA from 2 species